rnacentral:rRNA from 1 species
UAGGGAAUCUUCGGCAAUGGACGAAAGUCUGACCGAGCAACGCCGCGUAAGUGAAGAAGGUUUUCGGAUCGUAAAACUCUGUUGUUAGAGAAGAACAAGGACGUUAGUAACUGAACGUCCCCUGACGGUAUCUAACCAGAAAGCCACGGCUAACUACGUGCCAGCAGCCGCGGUAAUACGUAGGUGGCAAGCGUUGUCCGGAUUUAUUGGGCGUAAAGCGAGCGCAGGCGGUUUCUUAAGUCUGAUGGGAAAGCCCCCGGCUCAACCGGGGAGGGUCAUUGGAAACUGGGAGACGUGAGUGCAGAAGAGGAGAGUGGAAUUCCAUGUGUAGCGGUGAAAUGCGUAGAUAUAUGGGGGAACACCAGUGGCGAAGGCGGCUCUCUGGUCUGUAACUGACGCUGAGGCACGAAAGCGUGGGGAGCAAACAGG